rnacentral:rRNA from 1 species
CACGGGGGGAGCAAGCGUUGUUCGGAAUCACUGGGCGUAAAGCGCACGUAGGCGGCUUUUUAAGUCAGAGGUGAAAUCCUGGAGCUCAACUCCAGAACUGCCUUUGAUACUGAGAAGCUUGAGUCCGGGAGAGGUGAGUGGAACUGCGAGUGUAGAGGUGAAAUUCGUAGAUAUUCGCAAGAACACCAGUGGCGAAGGCGGCUCACUGGCCCGGUACUGACGCUGAGGUGCGAAAGCGUGGGGAGCAAACAGG